AGUGGCGGACGGGUGAGUAACGCGUGAGGAUCUGCCCUUAGGAUGGGGACAACAGUUGGAAACGACUGCUAAUACCCAAUGUGCCGAAAGGUGAAAGCUUUAGCGCCUGAGGAUGAACUCGCGUCUGAUUAGCUAGUUGGUAGUGUAAUGGACUACCAAGGCGACGAUCAGUAGCUGGUCUGAGAGGAUGAUCAGCCACACUGGGACUGAGACACGGCCCAGACUCCUACGGGAGGCAGCAGUGGGGAAUUUUCCGCAAUGGGCGAAAGCCUGACGGAGCAACGCCGCGUGAGGGAAGACGGCUCGUGGGUUGUAAACCUCUUUUCUCUAGGAAGAAGAACUGACGGUACUAGAGGAAUCAGCAUCGGCUAACUCCGUGGCAGCAGCCGCGGUAAUACGGAGGAUGCAAGCGUUAUCCGGAAUUAUUGGGCGUAAAGCGUCCGUAGGCGGUUUUACAAGUCUGCUGUUAAAGCGUGCAGCUCAACUGCAUAUAGGCAGUGGAAACUGUAAGACUAGAGUGUAGUAGGGGUAGAGGGAAUUCCCAGUGUAGCGGUGAAAUGCGUAGAUAUUGGGAAGAACACCGGUGGCGAAAGCGCUCUACUGGGCUACAACUGACGCUGAUGGACGAAAGCUAGGGGAGCGAAAGGGAUUAGAUACCCCUGUAGUCCUAGCCGUAAACGAUGGACGCUAGGCGU
rnacentral:rRNA from 1 species